GCCUCUGUAGCUCAGCAGUAUAAGAGCAGUCAUUCUGGUAUCAGAUGGUCAUGGGUUUGAAUCCCAUCGGAGACA
rnacentral:tRNA from 1 species